rnacentral:lncRNA from 1 species
GUCUCAUGCGUUUUGGGGCUCUUUGCUCUCACACAAGAGCUUGGCCCCAGAAAACGGGAUGUCCUGAUUUAAUUGGGACAGACAAGAUUUGGACCAAGAGAAGGUGGAGUGGGGAACCAGCAACCAGCUUUAGGAAAAUCUGGGGAUAGUGGACAUCUGCCAGGGAAGCAUUUGCAAUGGGCCAGAUCCUUGGUAUUAUAUGAAUCAUUUUGUUGUUGUUUAGUCAUUUAGUCAUGUCUGACUCUUCAUGACCCCAUGGACCAGAGCAUGCCAGGCACUCCUGUCUUCCACUGCCUCCCGCAGUUUGGUCAAACCCAUGCUGGUAGUUUUGAGAACACUGUCCAACCAUCUUGUCCUCUGUCAUCCCCUUCUCCUUGUGCCCUCAAUCUUUCCCAACAUCAGGGUCUUUUCCAGGGAGUCUUCUAAUACCAGCUUGGCUUAUAUUGACUUGAAUUGUCCCAUGUCCGGAAUGGAAAUCAAUCCAUUGAAUACAAUUGUUGUUGUUACUUUCAGCCAGCAAGUGAUGCAUCACUGAUUACAUUCCCUUCUACAUUUGCACUGCAUUUCCUUCUCAUUGUUAUGAAUCGGGUGGAACAACAUAGUGGCAAUGGUAACUUACACUUUUUCACGGAACUGAAACAGUGCUGCCUGGGACAAAUGCAGGGCAGAAAGGAAAACCAUGUCUGCUUACAUCCCUAGUCUUGAAACAGCCGGCCACUGCUGCAGCAUUGAGUAGCUUCACAUUUUUGUCCUUAAAAAGGCACUAUCCAAGCACCCAUCUGCUCAAACUGAUAAGCACUCACCUUUUACUGAAAUUUGGGAAAAUAAAUUGAUUCUCUGCCUUCCCAGGACUGCAGGAGUAUUAUGUUAGGUCUUUAACUAACUGAAGGACAGGCUGGUAAUCAUCACAUCAGCACUUAAGGGGAAAAUGUAAAUGCAGCUUGAGUUUCAUAGGGUUGUAUCUAACCAAGUUACACCCACUGAAAUGAAUGGACUCAAGUUAGCGAAGUCCAUGAACUUUUGAGGGAUCUACUCUGUAUAGAAUUAACAUUGAACACAACCCAAAAUCUUGAAAGCCGCAUUUUAGCUGAAUGGCAACCACAGAUGGUACUGUUCAGAAACUGAUAACUGGGGAGGCUUUAUGAUGGUUCUGGGAUUGAGUGCGAACAUCAGGCCCACUUAUCAUGGGAGUCUGAAUUCAUGUCUUAGUGCAGUGAGGGGAAACCUCUGGCCCUUGAGAUGUUGCUAGACUUCAGAUCCCAUGAUCCCUUAUCCUUGAACACAGGAUGAUGGGACCUGGAGUACAGUGACAUCUGGAAUACACCAGGUGCCCCAUCCAUGUCUUAAUGUGAAUGUGAUUUUUUUCUGAUAUGUUCUCCAGUAGCCCUCAGAGCAUCGGGCAGCUCCCUGUCACUUCUCUCAUGAGCACCAGUCGCAGACCAGAGAAGCCCUGCUCAACAUGGGGUCCUCCCCUCCAGUUUCCUUUAUCCUCCCUCAAGGGGUAACCUCUGCCUUCCUCAGGUUCUCCUGUUCCAGUGACCCCUAUGAGGCAUAUUAUUAUUCUUAGAUUUAUUAGCCACUUUUAAGAAAAAAUUAACUCGAAGUGGCUUAUAAUACUAAAAACGGAUCUAAGAACAAGAGCAAAAAGAAUCUAAAAUACAGUAAGUUGCAUAAAAUAGAAAAAGCAUCAUAUAAGCCAGUGGGAAGAGGCCCCAUCAUUACCUGGUUACAGUCCAUUUGGGCUGAUUUUUGGUUGAGCAAUUUACUCACAAGUAGCCCUGGUCAGGAGCUUCUCCUUGUGCUGGACUAAAAAACGAGGGUCCUGCUUUCGAUCAGUGGGAUGUUGUGGGGCAUGGAAAUUGCCUCGCAGUACCUUCAUUCAGUUUAUUUUAAAGUACAGUCAUACCUCAUGUUACGUCUGCUUCAUGUUACGUUCUUUCAGGUUACGUCCCGUGGUGACCUGGAAGUACCGGAAAGGGUUACUUCCGGGUUUCGCCGCUUGCGCAUGCGCAGAAGCACAAAAUGACAUCACACACAUGUGCAGAAGUGGUGAAUUGCAACCCGCGUGUGCGCAGACGCGCCACUGCGGGUUGCGCUCUUUUCAUAUUGCAAACAGGCCUCCAAAACGGAUCCCGUUCGCAACCAGAGCCCCACUGUAGUGCCAAACAUUUAUUUCUUAAGAUUUCAUGAACAGAAGUGGUGAGAAGUAUUUUGUGAGUGCCAAUUGUUAUAGCAGAAUUGUAAGCGACCUGACCCAACAUACUACUAAUAAUGGAGUAUGUGGUUUCAAUAUUUUAUUACUGGGCAUACAAGGGUUUCCUUUUUUUCAUUCUUGAGGUGUAGAAGAAGAAGAAGAGUUUGGAUUUGAUAUCCUGCUUUAUCACUACCCUAAGGAGUCUCAAAGCGGCUAACAAUCUCCUUUCCCUUCCUCCACCACAACAAACACUCUGUGAGGUGAGUAGGGCUGAGAGACUUCAGAGAAGUGUGACUAGCCCAAGGUGAAUGUGGAGGAGUGGGGAAGCAAACCCGGUUCACCAGAUUACGAGUCUACUGCACUUAACCACUACACCACACUGGCUCUCAUGUGCUUCACAUGUGUGUGAGGAUGUUGUUCAUAUGUGUAUGAGGAUCACAUGUGUGUGAGUGCUUCACAUGUGUGUGAGGAUGUCCACACAAGCUCAACACAUUUCCUCUCUGUGCAGAGGCUCUGUGCAUAUUAUUACAAUCUUUCUUACUGUGUUGGAUUUCACAAUUCAUCUCUAUGUUUGCUCGUUUAAACCUGCUUUUUAAUUUAGUGGAAUAGGAAUACAGAUUUAAAAAUGGCACACACACACACCACACGCUUUUUUUAAAAACCAGGAUAUUUGUCAUCAUGCCCACAAAGCAAACAGCCUGACAACAUUUAAUAGGUUUGGCAUAAGAUUUAUUGAUGUAAAUAUAGUUUAAAUAAUUGAUCAUACACUCAAGGGUAAAGAAAAUGUAUUUUUUUCCUCCUUUAAAACAUAAAACCGGGAUAUGAACAGUAUAAAUAGAACACACAACAGUCAUAACCACUUUAUAUUUUGUUUUAAUCAUCCGGAUUUACUGUCGAUGUUUCGAUUUUCCUCAUAUACAAAUUCAUCUUGUUCUGAAGUUGAUGACCUAGAAAUUUUUGCAUAAUGAAACAUGCUAUUUACACCGCGUAUGACACACACAAAAAUAUACAAAAGUGUUUAAAAGGCUUUUGCUGUGUGAAAAGCAUGGAAGAUACAUUUCAUGUUUUGACCGAGGGGACAAACCAACAAGCACUGCUAUUGCGCUUCCUCCAUCUACUCCAGAGAUGUGAGUAUCUCCCUGUCAGACCAAUAGUCAGUGCUGAGAGCUUUGAUAAUAUGGGGAAUCGAUUCUCCCAAAUCUCAGCUAGUCAACUGUCACUUUUAAGACCAAACAGGAUGGGAGAUCAAUGCUUAGAGCAAUCUUUGAAGCUCUUCUCUCUCUCUCUCUCUCUCCAGCCAUGUUGGAAGAGGGGACAAACAGGAAUGGAAUUUGACAGGGGCCCAUUUCCCCCAUCUGGUGGCAUCAUCACACUGUCCAAUUUCUUGAGUUGGGCCUGAGAUAUACAAAACAUGAUGGCAUUGUGAAAAAAGGUAGAUGGAUCUACUUGGGGUGGAGAUGCCAUUUUGAGAGGCCUUAAUGUGCCAUGCCUAACAUGAGGUUGUGAACUUCCUCUGGUGGAAGUGAAGGGCAUGUAUUGGGUGGAUGUGAGUUAAGGAGUGUAAACAGAGGGAUGAUGCACAGAAGCUCAGGUGUAGGAUUUUUUCCUUAAAACCUCACAAAGCACCUUUUGAAUGUGCCACACCCAAUCGUGAGGGGUAUAUGGGCAUGUGUGGGGAAGCCGCUUUUGCACAUGGGUCUCUCAUCCUGGACCCGACCAAUCAUCUAUUGCUAUUCACCUCACAAGCCCCAGCGAGAAAAUGGAAAGAGCACAGCAGCAGUGUUUGCCGUGUUGUUCCUCAGCACUAUAAAUGCAUACAGACUGAUAUAGAUUAAUUCCAAUCUGAAAUGGCUAUUGACAUUAUACCUCAUGUUUCACCCAUGACAGGAAAUACAUGGGAUGCGAACCAAGUGGAAAUGACCAAAGAGAAAACAUUGUUGGGAACUGUACAUACUUUGAGAGGUGGGUUCAGCUGGGAGGGAAAUGUAAAUCAAAUAUUUCUGACGCUGCAGAUUAUAUUAGCCGUUGAAAAACACACGCCUCACAGAUACUUUUGUAUAUGGAAGCAAUGUGGAAUGAUGGCAUUGCAAUUGCUAUUUGAUAUAUCUAGUACAGUUUCCAAACAAACAAAAAAUUGCCCAUGGCAUAGUGGUAUAAUAAAAUAGCAGAUGUACACUAUUAUUUACACUGCAAACUAAAUAAGAGAUAAUGACCUUAUGAAAAUGCAUCAAAUUGCUCAGAAUAGUAAAAAUCACAGACCUGAUUCAUAAAAUAUAUGCAUAUGUAUAUGUAUAUUAUAUAUAUAUAUUUAUAUAUACUUAUAUAUAGUAUAUGAACAUGUAUAAAAUUUAAUGGAGCAGGAACAUAAGGAUUAUUUAUGUUGCUAAAAUACCUACUAGAGACUUUUUUAAAAAACUGGGUUCUCCAUUCCACCAGAAAUGGACGUUUCAGAAUUGAACUAAAACCCACAUGACCUAGAAGCUCCACGGCAGAGUUGCAGAAUCUCCUGCAUAUGUGGAGCUCUGUUUGAGAAGCAGCCACCCCAUUCACUCCUAUAGGAAUUCCCAUAAGGUGCUUUUCCCCCUGGUAAAGUCAGUGAAGCAGUUCUCCCUCACGCUGAACUCUGUGGGUGCAAUGCAGCUAAAGUUAAAAAGCCUUUUGGCUGCCACUGAUACUAAUGGAAGAAUUAAGCAUGUCCUUAAAAUUUUGCUCAUUGGAACAAGCGGGGAUUAAGGCUGCAGUCCUGAGCACUCUUAAAGGGGUAGCCACACCACUGAACUUACUAGGGCUUACUUCUAAGUUAACACAGAACUGUGCUCCGUUUAAAUUUGAGUGGUUGAUGCCCUACGAGUGCAAAAGGGAUCAAUGGAGCUUUUUACAACUGUGUGUCACAGGGCUUUUAUUUUAUUUCUUUACAAACCUGUCACUGUGAAAAAGCAGCACUGCCAUGAAAGAAAGGAAAGGAAGUCAGUGUUACAAACAUGGGCCCAAUCCAAAGCUUUAUGCCUGGUUUUGGAUCCCCACACACCAUAUAUAUAUGUGUGUGUGUGUGUGUGUGUGUGUGACCAAUCACAUUCUGCACACGCAAUGGAUGAUUAUAACAUCUAGCUUAAAAUGUUAUUUAAAUUAUGUUUAGGCAAGAAGAAUGAAAUACAAUGACAAUCAUACGUCAAGUGGUAUUCGAAAACUUUCCUCAAGAGAUGACACGAUCAAUGGAAGAGGGGAAACAGCACCCCAUUCUGACAUUUCGUUCAGUCAAAUAAUUAAAGCAUGUUGGCAUCUCCACGUUCUUAAGUGACCUCCAGCAAAGUCACUCCAAAGACAUCUAUGCCUUCUAUUCUACAUGAAGUCUGUCCAAUCAGACAAGCAUAUUUGGCCACUGAAUGCCACUGAUAAUUUCCCACCAACUUUCCAUUUUUGGGCAAAAAACCCCCUCAAUUUUGGUAGGAUUAGUCACACCAUUAAACUCUACACACUAUUGUAAGCACUUAAGAGGGCUUAUUGAGAAGGCUUCAGUUCUGAAAGCAGAAUGCUACAUUUAUAUUUAUAUUUUUUAAAAAGUCCCUCUUUCUUUUGUGGAGAAGCACAUAACAGAAUUUUAGAGGGAGAGACAAACACUCUUCAGUGGCGCGCUUUUACGUGCCAAAGAUCAGGUAGGAGAAGACAUUGCUCUGAGUUUGGGAAAAGUUGCUGCCUCUUGUAGUAGAAAAUAUUCCAUGAGAAGGACAGCUAAUCUGACCUCAUUGAAAGCUGCUUAUGCUGUAAAUUUACAUUAGCCAUGUACUGUACCCCAUCUCUUAUUGGCCUCUGUUAAUUCACAUACACGUUGGUAAAUUUUGCCUUGUGACCUAUUAGAAAUAUCUAGUGAACAGCAUUAUGAUGGAGCUGUGAAAAGGCCUGGAGAUCAGCAUAUACCUGUGUAUAAGUUUUCCAGAUUUAAAAAAAUGCUCUUAUACUUUCCAUAGCGACAUUUACAUUUCAACUUUAAUAAUGAAAAAAAGUGCAAAGGCUCUAACUCAGCUGUGUCCUCAUGGAAACACAUGCAUAUAGCAAUAAUCACACUGGUUAGUUGAUUGGCAGGGGAAAUAAAGCAUGGAGGACUGAAUCCAGAUACUCACCGUUUCUUUUAAAAAUUCAUUGAUUGGAUCUCAAAUUUUAUUUUAUAAGGGUCUACAUGAGCACAGCAGAAGUCAGAGGGAGUGACAGAAGAUGCUAAAAAAUAAUGACUGACGAAUUGGAGAACAAGUUGAAGAAAUGCCCGUAUCCCUGAGUCCUUAAAGUUUCAGAGACUUUAGCAAUCUGAACAGCACGAAUAAAAUUAUUGAACUGAGAUGCUGAAUUAUUCCCCCCUCCCCCUUUUUAUGAAUCAGGUACUGUGUCAAGAUCACACAUGAAAUAGCUGAUUAAUUUUUCUUUUUCUCUUUAAAAACCCCUUUUUUGUCAGCAAUAUUAUAAAAUGUGGCAGACUGGUCGAGGGUUAGAAAAUAUGGGUGUGGAAGAAGUAGACGCUGACACUGUUCUUUAUUGUCAUCGUAUUAAUAAUGUUUGGAAAAAAGCAAGUCGCCUCUGCUUGGUGCAGCGAAUAUUAGAAAACGGCAUUCUGUUUAUAAACAUUUAUAAGAAAUAGCUUACCGCUAUGGAGGCUUUGACUGAGAAGAUGCAGAGUAGAGUAAAUAUUGCUUUACCUUUUAUUUAUUUAUUUAAAAUAAAGAGUGUACUUUAGGCUUACUAAUAUGGCAACAAACAAGGUUCUCCAAGACAAAGUAAAAACAUUGCGCUGUAAUACAGACACGCACACGGGCCGUCGCACACGCACACACACAGCAUUGAAGCAAGAGAUUUCGUUACAGAAGGCAGAUGAGGAGUCACAACACACAUCAGAGGAGUUAUUACAAGGUAAGCUCAAAAGAUGUUUUCGUUUAGAAGUGGUGCUGCAAUUCUCAGGCAAACUGGAGGAGCAAAGUCUCCCUUGGCUGACUGCAGGCCCAGCUUUUCUUUACCUCAGUAGCAUAAGGGUGGCCAUUUUGUGUGACCCAGAUGGGCCAUGGCUCCUGAUUCACUCUUUUUCCUGUGGGAAAGACUACCAAUGUUUCCUGUGGUAAAAAGCUGCCAAUGUUUGGUGCCGCUGUUAACCAACGCUGUGGUAAGCUAAUGAUGAGAAUUGUGUCUUUUUGUGUACUGUAAAAUUUCUUUUAACUGUUAGUAACAAAGACAAAAUGACUGCCACCAGCACAGCAGUUCUGCCAUUUUUGUACGGAGAUGCCUACACUCGUGGCGCUUCAGGUUGCUUCCUGAUGUGAACAAUAGACAUUUUCUACGCAACCACAAUAAGCAUGAAGGAACCAAGUGUUGACAUGUGCCUAUGACUAUGACUUCAAGUGCCCGCUUCCGCCGUGCUGAUGGAAGACAGUGGGACACCAGCAGAAAUGCUGUGGCCCAACUUAUUUUGGGUCAAGCACCAUCUAAGGGACUGAUCAACUGAUACUCAUGAAAUAUGGUUGCUUUCUAAUGUCUCCCAGACUAAGUUGCUCCUGAAAAAAAAUUGUAUCGCAUGAAACAUGUUGGCCAACAGCCUUUCUACCGAAACAAAUACUUCCUAGCAUCUCUUGAGCUUAUCUCCCCUUCUGGUUUCCUCUGCUAAUUGGUGUUGCCCUCCAUUUCAGUUCUUGUUUCCAAAGCAUGGAGUUUUUUUUGGGGGGAAGCACAACACAAAAGGAAUGCUCUGAAUCAACAACAGCUGCAGAGGUACCCUUUGCAAAUGCCCUGUUCUCCCAAAAGGCAACCAUCAGCAAAGCUUCAUCUCAAGUAAUGCAAGUGAAUCUUGUAGGAAAGGGAUAUUGCUCAGUGAUAGAAUCCAUGCUUUCUAUACUGAUGGUCCCAACAUCAAUCCAUUCAAUCUCAUGUAAAUCUGGGCUGGGAAAGACCUCUGCCUAAGUCUUUGGAGAGCUGUUUUCAGUUGGCAUAGUCAUAGGGCCGGCCCUACCAUUAGACAAAACGAGGCAGCUGAUUCUGUAUAUCAUAAAAGCCAAGCAAUUUAUUCUUUUUUACCUCUCAGGCAGAUACGUUUCUCAGAUAUUUUGCUGCCUCAGGUGCACACCAGUGAAGGAAGUAAUUAAGUUUUUGUUCCUCCUCUUCUAACACAACUGCUUUCCAGUAAUCCCUAGUCAAUAUUCUCCACUGUUUUGCUAUUAUGUUUACUAUUUACCUCAUAUACCAACAUCACUCAAGUAACAAGGCCAUCUAUCUAUCCCAUAUUAUGAAUGAUUAAGUCCCACUGGCUUCAGUGAGAAAGGUUUAAGUGUGAGCUUAAUUCUCCAACAGAUCAAUGGGAACUUAAAUGCAAUUCAUUGUGGAUGGAUCAUGCCCCAGAUUUGGUCUAUUCAAGUAGGUAAUUUAAAUCUUUGGUUGGAUGUAAAUUCAGUUGUUUUGGGGGAGGCAAUCCUAACUCAAUCAUCACAAAGCAGACACCACUUCCAGAAAUGGUGACUAUUUGAUGGCCAUCCACAAACCAGCUAAACACUACUGCUGGUAUCCCCAGUAACGAACGUAUGAGCUUUAAAUGUAAUAAAGUAAACACAACACUUCCAUGCAUGCCCACCCUUUGCCCCUCUUGUUGCAGCAUCUCACACGGUGUCAGAUCCUGCCCCCACCCCAAAUACCCUCAAGCCCUCAUAACGUAGGACCAUCUCCAUCCCUACCAGCUCCAUCCCUACCAACCUUCUUGAGCAUGAAGAUCUGCAGAGUAGGCUUGGUAGUUUUGCCACCCUCAGAAGUAGAGGGAAUGUCAGCCUGGGAAGGGGCUUUCUCUGUGGAAGCCCAAAAUGAGGAACUCUCUCCCUAUAGAAGUAUGCAAGGCAUCUUCACUAUACAGCAUUCAGCAUAUGCUGAAGGUGCAUUUUUUACCCUGGCCUUUGACAGGCAAGGUAUUUUGACUUGUGGGACCCACCUCUUCUGCUGAAUUUAGGACGUUCUGUUUUAUUUGGGUUAUUUUUACAUCUUUUAUCAUUUUAAUGGUUUUAUUUGUUUUUAUAAUUAUAUAUUCUAUUGUUGUAACCUGCCCUGGGAAUUUAUGGUGAAGGGCAGGCAAUAAAUUUCAUAAACAAAUAAAGGCAUGGCUUUUCCAGGCGCAUAAGUGAUUGCUUCUGAUUCCUAAACCAGCUGUUAAACUACCUUCAGCCUGUACCUAUGCAUUUUUUCUGAGACAUAAACCCAGUUGAGUUAAAUUGGACUUCCUUGGCUUUGAGACCAUGACCUUAAUUUUGCUUUCCCGGCUACCAUAAUAACUCUUAUUUCUAAGAAGCCUAAAAUGUUUGGCCAUAUGCUUACACCACCAGAGGGCACACUGCAUGCUUGAAAUUAUAAGCACCUUUUUUUG